GACGAACCGAGCGAACGUUGUUCGGAAUCACUGGGCUUAAAGGGCGCGUAGGCGGGUUGUCAAGUCUGGGGUGAAAUCCCGCGGCUCAACCGUGGAACUGCCUUAGAUACUGACGACCUCGAGGGAGGUAGGGGCGAGCGGAACGGGUGGUGGAGCGGUGAAAUGCGUUGAUAUCACUCGGAACUCCGGUGGCGAAAGCGGCUCGCUGGCCCUCUUCUGACGCUGAGGCGCGAAAGCUAGGGGGAGCAAACGGG
rnacentral:rRNA from 1 species